rnacentral:lncRNA from 1 species
GAUUCAAGCCUACACGUAUUGUUACCAUCAACACCUCCACCCACAACAAACUUUUCUAAUGUUCGAAGGCUGGUCAAUCUGGAAAUCCCUAUUGGCAGGUACUUCAACGAACUAGUAUCACCAUUUAGUAAACUCCUCAUGUUCUUUAACUUCCCAAUCCCCGUAGGCAAUUCUCUUAGAUCUUGGCACCGCCUAAUAUCUAGCUUUUGUAAAUUAUAUAAUUCACACAAAGUCUCAGGUAGACUCUCUAUACGUAGUCCAGACAAAUUAAGAUAUUUUAAAUGUAUCAAUUUUUCAACAUUUUCUGGAAUUUCUCUAAUCAAAUUUAGGUCAGGACGAAAAAUUGGGGACGGUUGGCUUAUAACUAAUGCCCUUAAACACGCCAAUUUACUAAAUAACUCCCGAAGGAUACUACUAUUAAGAGAUGGAUUGGAAGGACUUUCAUCAUCAAUUCCGAGUCCAGGACUGGACACAAGAUAUAAAACUGCAUUGACAAGACUAUAAGCGGAUGAAAUAGCCAUGGAUUGAAAUAAAGAUGGAUUGUAAUGACUUGUAUCAUAAAUUAAGAGGCUACGCAAUCGAUCAAAUUCAAAAAAGGACAUAGGAAAUGAAGCUCCUCUUUGAAAAUUUAACCCUAUGUGACGGACUUUCUCACCAAAAAAGUUUAUGACUAAUUCCUUGGUACCAUUUAUUUCUACCCACAAACAUUCUUUUCUACUUACAAAUUGGGCAAAAUCAUGUACUAUGUCAUGCAUCUUACACCUCAGAAUAUCAUCAUCGUCAUCAUCUUUUUCAAACUCUUGAAAGAAAGAGCGUGUUGCUAAGAUGUUGAAAUACUCUUCUCCAAUCAUCUCCAUUUCUUCGUCUUCAUCUGCAUUAAGGUAACCUUGAGCCAUCCAUAGAUUAAUCAAUUCCCUUUUAUUCAUAUUGUAGUCUUUUGGAAAGACAGCACAAUAUGAGAAGCACCGUUUUACCAUAGAAUUGGAGGGCAAAUCGUUAUAACUCAACAACAAAGGAGCCAAAAGACCUUGCUUAAUCUCUUCUACUUUCCACACUUCACUAUCUAAAAUUCUUUGCCACUCAUUUACUAUACUUUUAGAGGACAAGAGAUUCCCUGUACGUUUAUCGCACAAGAGGUUCCCUGUUACCUUUGCAGCAAGAGGCAGGCCUUUGCACUUGCGUGCAAUUUGUCGUGCGAUUGGUUCUAAUUUUUCACGAUCAACAGAAGAAUGACCGAAAAAUGCGAACCGCUCGAACAACGACCAGAAUUCAUCUUCAGGCAAUGGCUUAAUGGAGAUAAUAUUUGUUGAUCUCAUCAUACGGGCAACUGACACAUUACGUGUGGUAACCACAAUUUUACUUCCGGGAAGACCAUUCUUUAGACAAAAGAAGAAUUGAGCCCAUAUAUUAUAAUUCCCAUCCCAUACAUCAUCUAAGACAAGAAAAAUUUUUUUCCCUUCAAUUGAUCUAUGGAUAUGGCUCAUAAGAGAUUGGAAUUCGCUUAAACCAGAAGCUUCUUUUGACUCGUCUAGACCUUCAAUAAUUGCUUUGGCGACCCUCAUCUCAUCAAAAGUGUCCGAUACACACACCCAUAUAACUUUUUCAAAAUUUAUUUUCACCUCAUCAUUAUUAUAGGCUAGUUGUGCAAGAGUGGUUUUACCUAUACCCCCUAACCCAACCAGUGAGAUGAUAUGAGGAUGUUGUUCGCCAUUCUCACCCAACAACUUACCUAACAGCUCAUUUUUCUCGUCAUCUCUACCAAAAACCUCUCCCUCAUCAAUCAAGAAGGUGGUUCGCACUCGCUCUGGUUUCUUAACAUUGUUACUCACAUUCUCAACAAAUUUGAAACUAUCUUUUUGUCUGGCAAUAUCAUCUAGCUUUUCACUGAUUUCUCUAAUCUUGACAGCAAUAUCAUGACGAAGACUGAGUUGUUUGAAACCACCAAAGCAGUUUGAGGCAGCAGGAAAGAAGGAACAUACCUUCGUCAAAAGAGUAACAAAAGCAUUGGCGUCAUCAUCAUCAUCAUCAUCGCCGUCCUCAUCAAGCUGCAAUUUCCGUGUUUCAGUGAUCCACUCUUCCAACACAUCUUCCAUGUCGUAGGAUGCGUCUCUGAGCUGAUCCAGCCAAAAAGUAACAGCGUUGUCCUGCUUCAUUUGCCUCUGCUCUGCAUCUUCCAGCACAGCUUGAAUGGCUCAUUACUCAGCCCUUCUACUCUACAUUCACGAAGGAGUUGAAGAUUUUUCAGAGAUUCAAGCCUACACGUAUUGUUACCAUCAACACCUCCACCCACAACAAACUUUUCUAAUGUUCGAAGGCUGGUCAAUCUGGAAAUCCCUAUUGGCAGGUACUUCAACGAACUAGUAUCACCAUUUAGUAAACUCCUCAUGUUCUUUAACUUCCCAAUCCCCGUAGGCAAUUCUCUUAGAUCUUGGCACCGCCUAAUAUCUAGCUUUUGUAAAUUAUAUAAUUCACACAAAGUCUCAGGUAGACUCUCUAUACGUAGUCCAGACAAAUUAAGAUAUUUUAAAUGUAUCAAUUUUUCAACAUUUUCUGGAAUUUCUCUAAUCAAAUUUAGGUCAGGACGAAAAAUUGGGGACGGUUGGCUUAUAACUAAUGCCCUUAAACACGCCAAUUUACUAAAUAACUCCCGAAGGAUACUACUAUUAAGAGAUGGAUUGGAAGGACUUUCAUCAUCAAUUCCGAGUCCAGGACUGGACACAAGAUAUAAAACUGCAUUGACAAGACUAUAAGCGGAUGAAAUAGCCAUGGAUUGAAAUAAAGAUGGAUUGUAAUGACUUGUAUCAUAAAUUAAGAGGCUACGCAAUCGAUCAAAUUCAAAAAAGGACAUAGGAAAUGAAGCUCCUCUUUGAAAAUUUAACCCUAUGUGACGGACUUUCUCACCAAAAAAGUUUAUGACUAAUUCCUUGGUACCAUUUAUUUCUACCCACAAACAUUCUUUUCUACUUACAAAUUGGGCAAAAUCAUGUACUAUGUCAUGCAUCUUACACCUCAGAAUAUCAUCAUCGUCAUCAUCUUUUUCAAACUCUUGAAAGAAAGAGCGUGUUGCUAAGAUGUUGAAAUACUCUUCUCCAAUCAUCUCCAUUUCUUCGUCUUCAUCUGCAUUAAGGUAACCUUGAGCCAUCCAUAGAUUAAUCAAUUCCCUUUUAUUCAUAUUGUAGUCUUUUGGAAAGACAGCACAAUAUGAGAAGCACCGUUUUACCAUAGAAUUGGAGGGCAAAUCGUUAUAACUCAACAACAAAGGAGCCAAAAGACCUUGCUUAAUCUCUUCUACUUUCCACACUUCACUAUCUAAAAUUCUUUGCCACUCAUUUACUAUACUUUUAGAGGACAAGAGAUUCCCUGUACGUUUAUCGCACAAGAGGUUCCCUGUUACCUUUGCAGCAAGAGGCAGGCCUUUGCACUUGCGUGCAAUUUGUCGUGCGAUUGGUUCUAAUUUUUCACGAUCAACAGAAGAAUGACCGAAAAAUGCGAACCGCUCGAACAACGACCAGAAUUCAUCUUCAGGCAAUGGCUUAAUGGAGAUAAUAUUUGUUGAUCUCAUCAUACGGGCAACUGACACAUUACGUGUGGUAACCACAAUUUUACUUCCGGGAAGACCAUUCUUUAGACAAAAGAAGAAUUGAGCCCAUAUAUUAUAAUUCCCAUCCCAUACAUCAUCUAAGACAAGAAAAAUUUUUUUCCCUUCAAUUGAUCUAUGGAUAUGGCUCAUAAGAGAUUGGAAUUCGCUUAAACCAGAAGCUUCUUUUGACUCGUCUAGACCUUCAAUAAUUGCUUUGGCGACCCUCAUCUCAUCAAAAGUGUCCGAUACACACACCCAUAUAACUUUUUCAAAAUUUAUUUUCACCUCAUCAUUAUUAUAGGCUAGUUGUGCAAGAGUGGUUUUACCUAUACCCCCUAACCCAACCAGUGAGAUGAUAUGAGGAUGUUGUUCGCCAUUCUCACCCAACAACUUACCUAACAGCUCAUUUUUCUCGUCAUCUCUACCAAAAACCUCUCCCUCAUCAAUCAAGAAGGUGGUUCGCACUCGCUCUGGUUUCUUAACAUUGUUACUCACAUUCUCAACAAAUUUGAAACUAUCUUUUUGUCUGGCAAUAUCAUCUAGCUUUUCACUGAUUUCUCUAAUCUUGACAGCAAUAUCAUGACGAAGACUGAGUUGUUUGAAACCACCAAAGCAGUUUGAGGCAGCAGGAAAGAAGGAACAUACCUUCGUCAAAAGAGUAACAAAAGCAUUGGCGUCAUCAUCAUCAUCAUCAUCGCCGUCCUCAUCAAGCUGCAAUUUCCGUGUUUCAGUGAUCCACUCAUCCAACACAUCUUCCAUGUCGUAGGAUGCGUCUCUGAGCUGAUCCAGCCAAAAAGUAACAGCGUUGUCCUGCUUCAUUUGCCUCUGCUCUGCAUCUUCCAGCACAGCUUGAAUGGCUUGAAGAUUGGUGGUAAGCUUUCCCACUUCAUGUUCGACACCCGUGACAAGCCUCCACUUUUCUUGAGCAAUGGAAUUCAGCUGGUCCAAGAGAGAGGAAACGAGCGCAUGAGCCAUUCUGAUAUUAGAUCAAAUGGUAAAUGCUGCAAUUGCUUUUCUUGAUAAAAUGCUCAGAGGAAAGUAGGUUUUAUGUAUUCUGUGAGAAUGUUCAUUCAAGCAUGUUUGCAUUCUUCUUAUACCAUAUGAGAUAUUUAAUUUUUACCCUCAAUGUGAACGUUCUUUCGUGCUGCAAAUUAAAGGAGUCGGCGUCAAUAUUUGUACAGCGUCCGCCCUGUUUCUCUGAUUCAUAAUAAUUCAUUGUUAAUUCUGCAGAGUACACAGCGUCAGCACUUGUAAAAUUUCUUACAUUUGUAUUUAGUUACUUGCCGCUCUUAAGAUAAUUAGUAACAAAAUAUUUGUAAACUGCAACAAAAAGCUUUGUGCAAUCUAUCUAUGAAUCUUGUGAGUUCACAUAUAAUACAGUCGAUUUAAAAUAGUCAUAAUUUUUUUUAUUAUAAAUAUUAGUAUAUUUGUAAUGGUAUAAUAUAUAUCGAUGAAACUAUAUAGAGUAAUUUCGCCUAAUUGUAUAAAUUCAUUACGAAUAUCAUCACAAAUUUGUAUUUGGUCGGGACCGUGCGAGUGAAAUUUUUGAUAAAAUUUCCCUAUGAAUCUGACAAUUUAUUUAUUAUAUGUUUCAAUUUUAGUCCACAGUCAAUAUAUAACUUUAUGCCAAAGCCAUUUGGUCAUUUGAAAAAGUAUGUGAUUCCGUUUUAGUCUAUUAUGUCACGACAAAAAGAGAAUUGGAAAAGAGAAAAAUAAGACAAAAGUUGGAAAAAUCAUGCAGCCGACCCUUUUUUCUAUCUGAUUGCGCAAUAUUAGGUAGGCGAAUGCGACUUCAUCGAUAUCAGACAGCAGUGGUUCUGUCAUUAAUUUUUUUCUUUUAUUUAAUUAAGAAAAGGAAGAAAAGAUAGCACAUGUUAUGAUUAUUGUGAAUUUUCCAUCCCUUAUAUAAAUUCUCAAAUUUAUUUAAAUUGUGAGUCAUAGAAGUAUAUUACCUAAACUAUUUUAUCAGGCUAUGUUCGGAUACUAGGAUUAAGUAUGGAAUUGGACUAAUUUUAUGAUUAUAUAUUUAUAUCAUAUUUGGUAAGCUUAAUUGAAUUGGACUAAGGGCCAGUUUGGUAAUGCUGCAGCUUUUAAAAUAAUUGCUGUUAGCUGUGCUGUAGAAAUAAUCAACUGUGAAGAGAAUCAGUUAAGUGUUUGGUAAAUUUUAUUUUCAAAAGUACUGUGAAUUUUGAAAGCAGUUAUGGGUGUUUGGUAAAUUUUAUUGUUAAACUGCUGUAAGAAAAUAAAUGACUAAAAUGUACAUAAUGUAGGAUGAAAAAAUAUUAUAAUAAAAAUUGCAUAGCCAUGGAAUCAUUUAUAAUAAAAAAAUUCAAAUAAGACAAACAAUGAAUAUUAUAAUAAAAAUUGCAUAGGCAUAGAAUUGUUUAUAUAUAAACAAACCCAAAUAAGACAAACAACAAAUAUUAUAAUAAAAAUUACAUUGAAUAUGCAUGAAAAGGGUGAUGAAUCACUUACUGUUAUUGAAUAUGGUGAUGGAACACGUAAUGGAUCUUGCUUUGUUGCACUAGAGAAGUUUUGAUAGAACAAAAAAUAUGAAGAAAUAGGGUAAACGAAAGGUGUACGUUAAUUAUAAUAAAAAAUUAUUAAAAUAUUGAUUUUAUUUUCAAUUUAAAUAAGGAUAAUUUCGGGUUUAAGUAAUAAUUGUAAGGAUAUUUAUGGUAUAUUACCUAAACUAUUUUAUCAGGCCAUGUUCGGAUACUAGGAUUAAGUAUGGAAUUGGACUAAUUUUGUGAUUAUAUUUUAUAUCAAAUUUGGUAAGCUUAAUUGAAUUGGACUAAGGGACUAAAUUUAAGUUUAAUCCUAAAAUUAUGGGAUUAAUAAUCCUAAUGUACACAUUCCUUUAGUUGGGACUUGGGAUAAGAUUAAAGAAAAAAAGUUAUCCAUUUAUGAGACUUUAAUUUAUGUCAUUAUUUUUUAUUUAUACUUAAUAUUAAUUAAUUAAUUAAUUUACUCUUUAAUUUAUGUCAUUAUUUUUUAUUAAUACUUAAUAUUAAUUAAUUAUUUUUUUUAAUUUAUGAUUUAUUUAAAAUUUAUUUUUAUUUAUUAUCUAUCAUCUGAUUAAAUUAGAACUUUACUUCUACUAACUCUUGAGAUUAAUUUUUCAUUACUUGCGUAUUUGAUAAUUUGCCAAUAAAAUUAACCAUUUAAUAAUUUCUUGCAUUAUUGAUUGUAUUAAAUUUAAUAAUCACUAAUAUAAUAUUAAAAAUCAUCAUGAAAAUUAAUAAUACCAUCAAUUAAUUGAUUUAUAUACUUUUUUAAAUAUUUGAUAAGAAUUUGAUAAAAAUUAAUUAAGUAUUUAAUUUUUUUUUCAUUUUUUUUAAUUUAUUUUAUCAUGAAUACCCAGUAUCUUACAAUAUAAUUAAUUUUCUCAUUCAGACUACUAGCAUCAGCUCUUGUAAAAUUUCUUACAUUAUAAGCAACAAAAUAGUUACAAACUACAACAAAAGGCUUAGAUCAAUCCACCGAUGAACCUUCUGAAGUUAUAUAUAAUAUAUUAAUUGUUGAUCUAGUAUAAUCUUAGUGGAUAGAUUUUUUUAAUUAUAAAUAUCAAUAAAUUUUUUUAUCGUUUAAUAGAUAUUGAUGAAAUUAUAUAGAGUAAUUUUGCCCAAUCAAAUUAAUCCAUUAUGAAUUUCAGCACAAAUUUGCAUGUGGUCUGGACCGUGCAAGUGAAAUUUAUUUAGUAUAUUUUUCAAUUUGGCCGUCAACAUAUUUUUGUCAGGUAGGCAAAAGCAAAAGCCAUUAUCUCAUUAAUUCAUUUGGUCAUUUGAGAAUGUAACUCUAUUAUGCCAUGACAAACUCCAAAGAUCUAAUUUAGAGAGCGACUCAAAUAAUGUUAAUUAGUAAUUUAUUACAUCUGCGAUUAGCUUGAUACUUUGUUUAAAAAAAAAAGAAUAAAAUUAGUUUCAUAAUGAUUUUAAUUACAAUAAAUAUCAUGCUGUGGUCUAUGACUUAUAUGAUAUUACAAAGAAAAUAUGUGAAAGAUAACUAAGUAAUACAUCCAUUACGAAUUUCAUUACAAAUGAAAUUUAUUUAUUAUAUUUUCCAAUUUAACCUUAACGUAUGGACCAUUUUUUGUCUAUAUGGAUUAUGGCCAACAACUUUUUUUAUCAGGUAGGCAAGAGUAAAAGCCACUGUCUCAAUAAUUCAUUUGGUCAUUUGAAAAAGUUGUGCCUCUGUUUUAGUCCACAGUCAAAGAAAAUAUGCGAAGAAAAUAUGUCCCAUUGUGAUUUUAAUAAAUAUCAUACUAUGGACUUACCUCGUAUUACAAAGAAAAUAUGCGAAAGGAAUAAAGCUUUUCCACAAUUAUUUAUAAAAUUGCUUUUGGAGAACGGUUAUGAAAUUAUAUCAAAUUACUAAUUAUUUAGUUAACCUCUCAAGAAGUCUAUUUGGUUGACUUCUCGAGUUUAAAAUUCGAAUGUCAAAAAAGAUAAAAGGUUAAAAAAAUAUUUUAAAUAUUAUCCACCCUUUUACUAUUUUAAUAUACAAAAAGAAGAAUUACUUAUUUUUAACAAUGGCAACCGGGGGGCAUAAUAUAUCUGAUGGAUUUUUCUAAGGAACAAAACUUAUUAUAUCUCCUAUCAAAAGUGUCAUUUUUUGUUAGGAAAAGGACAUCUAUAUCCCCAAUUUUUGGAGAAAUGGCUACCAACGCUCCCAAAUUUUCAAAAAGAGACACUAAAACUCAUUUUUUACUACAAUACACUUUACCUUUAUUAUCCCAAAAAUUAACUUUAAUUUUUUAUAAUAAAUAGAAAUAUAAUAUUAAAAUAAAUGUAUUAAAAUUUAAAUUAUUAUGAAAAAUAAUAAUUUUAAUAUUAUUAGUAUGUGAGACUUUUUUAAUUGUAAAAUGUAUUUAAUGCAAAUAUUUAUUUAAAAUCUCUAGAAUAAAUACAAAUAUAUUAUUAAAAUAAAUAUAAUAAUUUACAUAGUUAAAUUUAUUUUAAUAUUAAAUAUUUUAAUAUUAUUAAUCUACUACAUAGAUUACAUUAUUUAUAUAAUAUUUGUGUUAACUAAAAAUUUGCAAGUUAAAUUUUUGGGGAUACUAAAGGUAAAGAGUAUUAUGGUCAAAAGAGAGUCUUGAUGUCCUUUUUAGAAAACUUGGGGUGUUGGUGACUAUUUCUCCAAACCAUGGAGAUAUAGAUAUCCUUUUCUCUUUUUUAUUUUAAACAAGUGGUGACUAAAGAUUAAACUGUCAUAGAUUCACAAGAUAUUCACCACAAAAUUUGUAGGAAAUUUCUUCUUCCCUAAGCGGAAAAUACAAAACAAAAACAUAAUUGGCAAUUUCACUAGCAAAACUAAUAUUUUGUUCCAUAUCCAGGGCCGGAGCUCAAGGUAAAUCUUCAUGACGCCCAAAUUCAAAUUUCAAGUGUUAGCUGGGGAUUAAUUUUAGACAAUUAUUUUAUUUAUAGCUAGUAUGUAGUUGUUAGGUGUUUCAAAAUUUGAGAAUUUAGUGAUUCUGUGAGAAUGUUCAUUCAAGCAUGUUUGCAUUCUUCUUAUACGUACCAUAGGAGAUAUUUAAUUUUUGGAAACAGAUCCGGUGCUCAGCUGAGCUUGUGCUGAGCACCGGAUCCUGGUCCUUAGUUUUUACCCUUGAGUCAAUGUCAAUGAGAAUACUUUUAUGCUGCAAAUUAAAGGAAUCCCCGCAGGAGUCACCGUGUGGGGCAUUCAGACUACUCAGCAUCAGCACUUGUAAAAUUUCUUAUAUUAUAAGUAACAAAAUAUUUGUAAACUACGACAAAAAGGUUGGAGCAAUCUACUGAUGAACCUUCUGAAGUUAUCUGUAAUAGACUAAUUUGAUCUACAAUAAUCUUAGUGUUGGAACAAUUUCAAAAUAAAUGAUGUUUUAUUAUAAAGACAUGCCUAAUUAAUUUUGCCAUAGAAGAGGUAUCUUUUGAUAUUUAAUAAAUAUCAUACUAUGGUCUACGACUUACCCAUAUUACAAAGAAAAUAUGUGAAAGAUAAUUAAGGAAUAAAGUUUUCAACAAUGAUUUAUAAAAUUGCUUUUGAUAAAACUGUUCUGAUGAAAUGAAAUUAUGUGAAAUUACUACGAAUUUAAUUAGCCUCUCAAAAAGGUUUAUUCAUUGCUUGACUUCUCAAGUUUAAAAUUCGAAUGUCAAAAUAGAUAAAAAGUAAAAAAAAUUAUUUUGAGUUUUAUCCACCCGUUUACCAUUUUAAUAUAUAAAACUCCCCAAACGGGUCUUAAAUUGUCAUAUGUUCGCAAGAUAUUCAGCACAACAGUUGAGGGAAAUUUCUUCAUCCUUGAGCGGAAAAUACAAAGAAAAACAUAGUUCGCAAUUUUAGUAGCAAAACUAAUAUUUUGUUCCAUAUGGGGUAAAUCUUCCGAAGGCCCAACUUCAAACUUAAAAUGUUAGUUGGGGAUUAAUUUUAGGGGGAAACCUCAGGUGCAACUGUGGUACCGUGCCACAGUUGCAUCUAGCCGUUGGAUGUGAGUAGACCCCACCAAUCCAAGUGCAUCCAACGGCUAGAUGCAACUGUGGCACGGUGCCACAGUUGCACCGUAGGCUGAUCCUGAUUUUAGACUGUUUUUCUAUUUAUAGUUAUUAUGUAGUCGUUAGGAAUUUCGAAAUUUGAGAAUUUUGCUUGUAGCUACAGGCUGCAGCGAUUUUGAUUUGGCGGCUUUGAUUCAUAAUUGAAGUUACUGUUGCAAGUAAAACUAAAAAAUAAUUAACAAAAUAAAAAUCAAGGACUAAGGCCCAAGUUUUAUCAAAAUUUUAAUAAAAAGCUAUUUGUCAUUUUGUCAUAAUGAAAAAAUAAAUAACAAAACAAAAAUAAAAAAUGGAGUUGAUUUUAUUUUACAAAAUAUAAAUUAAAUUUCCAUUAUAUGUAUAAACUAUAAAGUUUAUAUAUCAAGUGCUUAGGGAUCAAAUCGGUCUUUUUAUACUUAAUUUUUAAUAUUUCAUUUCGAAACCCCAAAAUUUUUCAAAGCUUGUAGGGUCAUGAUCCCCGCUAGGAGUCGGCAAAUUUGUGUUCAGAUCAACUUGUUUGAGUUUCAGGUUGAUUAAGUUAGAAUAUUCAGAUUGGAUUGAAUUAGAUCAAAAAUUCAAGUUUAAUUCGGAUCGCAUCAUGUUAUAAUUAUAUGGGGGUUAGGUUGAGUUUGGGUUAAAAUCAAAUUCGGUCAGCUAGGAUGGAUUCAUAAUAUUGGGAUUAGGGGUAUUUUUGAGCCUAUUUUUUUUUUUUUUUGAGUUUUUUUUUUCAAUUAUUUUAGUUCUUUGUCAACAAAAAAUAAAAACUACUACUAUGAAAUCAAAUGAAUAAAAAUUAAAAUAAACUAUUACUAUUGAAUUGGAUCGGAUCCUCAUCUCUUCACCUUCUUAUACAUUAAGGUAACUUUGAGCCAUCUAUAGUGUAAUUAGUUAUCUUUAUACAUAUUGUAGCCUUUUGAAAAGACAGUAUAAGAAAUACUGCCUUAUUAUACAUUAAUAUUGUUCCCAAUCUCUUUUACCUUCCACAUAUCACUAUCUAAAAUUCUAAAUCAUGAUGCCAUCAGUACAUUUCCACAUAUUGCCAAGAAGGAUGCUGCCUCAUACAACAGCCGUGAAGAAUUCUCCAUGCAAGACCGUCAUCAACUGUCCAUUGAACAUGCAAAUCAUGUUCAAAGCCGUGAGCAAAUUGGAAUGCCACAGUCAAACACAUCGGGAGAACUUUCGGCUCCCACGCGUGAUGUGUCCCACAUUCAAACUCAGAUUAUGGCAUCCCACGUGAAGCAUUCAAAAGAGUCGGCUAUCCACAUGCAUGCAAGUUCAAAUUCAAACAAAAGUGCAGCCCGUGAUGGUUGUAGUCAAAGCACACAAACACUUUGGGCAUGCACAAUUGAUUUGGCUUCCAUAAAGCAGAAGCACGCUAAAUCUUGGGGCCAAAGAAAAUCUUACCCUUGAAAAUUCAAAUCCAAAGUCAAAGGCACAUUCAAAUCACCCACAGUCAAAGGCACACUCAAACCAAAAUGUGCAAACAAUUCUCUAAUUUCUUUCACCCCAUGUGCAAACUUUUUCCCCAACACACAUCCAGCUUAUUCCAACUUCAAAACAGUCGGCCCCACUUGUCCAAAAUUUCCAAACACCUUCACUUAUUCAUAAUCCUACACAACCGAAUCCAACAAAUUCCCAAUAUCCAACUUCUACCCCACUACCAACAAACAGCCAACAUCCAAAUUCGGCCCCACUUAUUCUAAAUCCAUCCCUUGCUAAACAAAUCCGAAUAAACACGUCAUACUCUUUUAAUCCCCAACCAAUAACCAGCCCACCAAUUUAACCCCAUCCUUUUAACCAACUUCCCCAAUAAUUGUCAGGCCAACCUUAUAAACCUCACAUAUGGGCUUAAUGCCCCCACCUUAAAUCAGGGCACACAAAUAAACCCCGGCCCAUUCCUUAAUACCUCCCAUAAACUUCAUGUGGCCCACUCUACCAAUCCUCCCAUAUCAAAACCCUCAUAUGCUGAUAUUCCUAAAUCUUUUUUGGAUGCUAUUCUAGACUCAGUUGCCCCUGAAAUCCUGAUUAAGCCAGUUACUCUUUAACAAGGAGAGCCAACAGUUUAAUUUUCAUAAGCAGAAGAGCAGUUUUUCAAACUCUCACUUGUAGGUAAAUUUUCUUUUGGCCGACCAAAAAUGCUAGUAUUCGCCAAUUCUUUAAAUCUUUGGGUUUGAAAGGAAAUGUUCAAGUAUUUUUACUGGAUAUGAGGCAUGUACUGCUUAAUCUCGAGCUUGAGGAGGAUUAUUCUCGGAUUUGGGUAAGACAAACAUGGUAUGUUAGUGGUCGCGUAUUUUUAGAUGGACCACUAAUUUUCGGUGUACCGAGGAGUCGCCGAUUGUUCCAUUUUGGAUAUCUUUACCUUUUUUUGCUAGUACACUAUAUUCAAUGCAAACAGGCUUUAUGCUCUAUUACUGGUGCUAUCGAAAAACCAUUGAGAGUAGAUCAUGCCAUUGCUGUCGUCAUCAGACCAUCAGUUGCCCGAGUAUUGAUUGAAUUUGAUGUCUCCAAACCUUCAAUUCCUCGGAUUUGGAUUGGCACAUAUAAGUCUGGUUUUUGGUAGGAGGUUAUCUUUGAGCAGUUUCCUGCUUACUGUACUACAUGCAAGCACUUUGGCCAUUUAGAUGGAGAAUGUUUUAUUGCAAAUCCUGCUCUCUGGAAAACCCAACAGCCAAAUCAUGAGAUUCAGACCACAACAGAUAGUGAUCCAACUUCUAUAAAGGAGCGAGAGAAUCCUAGCGCAAUUUCACCACUUUCUGUCGAGACGCGGGGGCCUCAGAAUGAUGUUGCUGUGAGGGAUCCAACCAUUUUAUAUGGCAAUGCAGCUAGAUGAAUUGAGGACAUCACUCAUUCUAGUUCCGAUGUUCAGAGAGUAUCUGUUGGCUCCCGAUUUUACCAAUUUGUGAUGGAUAGCAUUAGUAAUAAUGUAAUAUGGAGGUGGGCUUCAACGCCUACUCUAUAGGUAUUCCAUCUCAGUCCGACGAGGAAAUUACAACCAAUGGUAAUUUUCAACACGUGGUUAGAUUUCAUUAAUUAGAUUCAGAUGCUUGUUCUGAUGAGGCUGUCGGAGAAGACAACCAUUUUGUGACAGAUAAUGAGGAAGCUAAAUCUUAUUCAAUUAUUGACAUGGGGAUUAGUAGUUUGGAUGGGCAUAGAAUUUCUACUCCUUAUGGUUUUGCUAAUACUCAUUUCGAGGAAGCGACGUAAGAUCAUGAAGCGGGACAAUUCUCGCUUCUAUUCACUUAGAUGAUUAAUUCCAUAAGAGUGAAGCCCUAGAUAAGUUCAAGGAAUGGAUAGCUCUAAUGGAGAAUCAAAUAGGGAGGAAAGUGAAAAGACUCAGAACUGAUAAUGGGCUAGAAUACUGUAGUAAUGAAUUUGAUGAGUUCUGUAAAAGGCUAGGCAUUGCAAGACACAAGACAGUAAGGCAUACACCUCAGCAAAAUGGACUUGCUGAAAGGAUGAAUAGGACCUUGAUUGAAAAGGUCAUAUGCAUGCUGUUGAGCUCAAAUCUCUCCAAACAUUUUUGGGCUGAAGCUGCUGUUACAGCUACAUAUCUCAUUAACAGAAGUCCAUCAUCAGCUCUGGAGUUCAAAACACCUCAGGAAGUCUGGUCUGGGAAGCCACCUGAUCUCAGCAACCUGAAAGUCUUUGGUUGCCCUGUCUGUGCACACAUUAAACAAGGCAAGCUGGAACCAAGGGCUGUGAAAGGUUAUUUCAUAGGGUACCCUGAGGGCAUUAAAGGGUACAAAAUUUGGAGCUUAAAUGGGAAACCCACCAGAACCUUUAUCAGCAGGGAUGUUGUGUUUGAUGAGGAAGCCCUGACACAGUCAAGGGUUGAGACUCAAAUAACCAAUACAAGCUCUGAAGAAAAGGGAGUUGUUGAGCUGGAGGUGGAGUCACCAAAAGAAGCAAAACAACAUCCAAAGCAAACACAUUCUGAACUGGAAGGAUAUCAACUGGUCCAAGGAUAAAAGAAAGUGGGUGGCUGCCAUGGAAGAAGAAAUGGCCUCACUUAGAAAGAAUAAGACCUGGAGUUUAGUAAAGAAACCAGCUAACCAAAAGCUAGUAGGCUGUAAAUGGAUAUAUAAAAUAAAGGAAGGAGUCUCAGAAUCUGAACCAGCCAGGUAUAAGGCCAGACUUGUAGCAAAGGGGUUCACCCAAAGAGAGGGAGUGGACUUUAAUGAAGUGUUCUCCCCUGUGGUCAAACACAGCUCAAUAAGAGUCUUAUUGUCUAUUGCAGCAUACAAUGACUUGGAGUUGGAUCAAAUGGACGUGAAGACUGCUUUCCUACAUGGAGAUCUCAGUGAGAGGAUACUGAUGGAACAGCCAGAGGGAUUUGUUGAAGCUGAAUCAGAAGAUAUGGCUUGCUUGCUCAAUAAAAGCCUAUAUGGAUUAAAGCAGUCACCUAGGCAAUGGUAUUUGAAAUUCGAUGAGUUUAUGAUCACACAUGGCUACAGCAGAAGUAAAUAUGACAGUUGUGUAUAUUCUAAGGCUCUAACCUCUGGAAAUUUCAUUUACCUUUUACUCUAUGUAGAUGACAUGCUCCUGGCAUGUAAACGAAGAGAAGAGCUGGAGUGGCUUAAAGGUGAACUAAGCUCAGAGUUCGAAAUGAAGGACCUAGGUCCAGCCACCAAAAUUUUAGGAAUGCACAUAAUCAGAAAUAGAGUUUCUAAAACUCUUUUCUUGUCUCAGACAGGAUAUGUGGAGAAGGUUCUUAGUAGAUUUGGAAUGAAUGAAUCCAAACCAGUCUUAACUCCUUUAGGAGCUCAGUUCAGACUCUCUAAACAGGAAGAGCCAGAAGAAAAUGCAGAGGUUGAACACAUGAAGAAUAUACCAUACACUAGUGUGGUUGGUUGUAUUAUGUAUGCCAUGGUGUGCACCAGACCUGAUUUGGCCUAUGGAAUUGGAGUGCUGAGCAGAUUCAUGUCAAAUCCUGGAAAACAUCAUUGGCAUGCAGCUAAGUGGAUGUUGAGGUAUUUAAAGGGUACAGCUGGUCUGGGUAUAGUAUAUGGAAGGGUUGACAAAAGCUCUAGUCAAAUUCAAGGUUAUGUUGAUUAAGACUUUGCUGGCGAUCUGGAUAAAAGGAGGUCAAUCACUGGUUAUGUCUACACUUUGUGUGGUGGAGCAGUCAGCUGGAAGGCUUCUUUACAGUCAGUAGUUGCUUUGUCAACUACUGAGGCAGAGUANNNNNNNNNNNNNNNNNNNNNNNNNNNNNNNNNNNNNNNNNNNNNNNNNNNNNNNNNNNNNNNNNNNNNNNNNNNNNNNNNNNNNNNNNNNNNNNNNNNNNNNNNNNNNNNNNNNNNNNNNNNNNNNNNNNNNNNNNNNNNNNNNNNNNNNNNNNNNNNNNNNNNNNNNNNNNNNNNNNNNNNNNNNNNNNNNNNNNNNNNNNNNNNNNNNNNNNNNNNNNNNNNNNNNNNNNNNNNNNNNNNNNNNNNNNNNNNNNNNNNNNNNNNNNNNNNNNNNNNNNNNNNNNNNNNNNNNNNNNNNNNNNNNNNNNNNNNNNNNNNNNNNNNNNNNNNNNNNNNNNNNNNNNNNNNNNNNNNNNNNNNNNNNNNNNNNNNNNNNNNNNNNNNNNNNNNNNNNNNNNNNNNNNNNNNNNNNNNNNNNNNNNNNNNNNNNNNNNNNNNNNNNNNNNNNNNNNNNNNNNNNNNNNNNNNNNNNNNNNNNNNNNNNNNNNNNNNNNNNNNNNNNNNNNNNNNNNNNNNNNNNNNNNNNNNNNNNNNNNNNNNNNNNNNNNNNNNNNNNNNNNNNNNNNNNNNNNNNNNNNNNNNNNNNNNNNNNNNNNNNNNNNNNNNNNNNNNNNNNNNNNNNNNNNNNNNNNNNNNNNNNNNNNNNNNNNNNNNNNNNNNNNNNNNNNNNNNNNNNNNNNNNNNNNNNNNNNNNNNNNNNNNNNNNNNNNNNNNNNNNNNNAUGAGGAAGCCCUGACACAGUCAAGGGUUGAGACUGAAAUAACCAAUACAAGCUCUGAAGAAAAGGGAGUUGUUGAGCUGGAGGUGGAGUCACCAAAAGAAGCAAAACAACAUCCAAAGCAAACACAUUCUGAACUUGAAGGAUAUCAACUGGCAAGGGAUAGAGUAAGAAGAACCAUUAAAAUGCCUGAAAGAUAUGGAGUUGCAGAUCUUAUAUCAUAUGCUUUGGCUGUGGCUGAAGCUGAAACAAGUGAGGAACCAGCAACCUACAAGCAAGCUAUGAGAUCCAAGGAUAAAAGAAAGUGGGUGGCUGCCAUGGAAGAAGAAAUGGCCUCACUUAGAAAGAAUAAGACCUGGAGUUUAGUAAAGAAACCAGCUAACCAAAAGCUAGUAGGCUGUAAAUGGAUAUAUAAAAUAAAGGAAGGAGUCUCAGAAUCUGAACCAGCCAGGUAUAAGGCCAGACUUGUAGCAAAGGGGUUCACCCAAAGAGAGGGAGUGGAUUUUAAUGAAGUGUUCUCCCCUGUGGUCAAACACAGCUCAAUAAGAGUCUUAUUGUCUAUUGCAGCAUACAAUGACUUGGAGUUGGAUCAAAUGGACGUGAAGACUGCUUUCCUACAUGGAGAUCUCAGUGAGAGGAUACUGAUGGAACAGCCAGAGGGAUUUGUUGAAGCUGAAUCAGAAGAUAUGGCUUGCUUGCUCAAUAAAAGCCUAUAUGGAUUAAAGCAGUCACCUAGGCAAUGGUAUUUGAAAUUCGAUGAGUUUAUGAUCACACAUGGCUACAGCAGAAGUAAAUAUGACAGUUGUGUAUAUUCUAAGGCUCUAACCUCUGGAAAUUUCAUUUACCUUUUACUCUAUGUAGAUGACAUGCUCCUGGCAUGUAAACGAAGAGAAGAGCUGGAGUGGCUUAAAGGUGAACUAAGCUCAGAGUUCGAAAUGAAGGACCUAGGUCCAGCCACCAAAAUUUUAGGAAUGCACAUAAUCAGAAAUAGAGUUUCUAAAACUCUUUUCUUGUCUCAGACAGGAUAUGUGGAGAAGGUUCUUAGUAGAUUUGGAAUGAAUGAAUCCAAACCAGUCUUAACUCCUUUAGGAGCUCAGUUCAGACUCUCUAAACAGGAAGAGCCAGAAGAAAAUGCAGAGGUUGAACACAUGAAGAAUAUACCAUACACUAGUGUGGUUGGUUGUAUUAUGUAUGCCAUGGUGUGCACCAGACCUGAUUUGGCCUAUGGAAUUGGAGUGCUGAGCAGAUUCAUGUCAAAUCCUGGAAAACAUCAUUGGCAUGCAGCUAAGUGGAUGUUGAGGUAUUUAAAGGGUACAGCUGGUCUGGGUAUAGUAUAUGGAAGGGUUGACAAAAGCUCUAGUCAAAUUCAAGGUUAUGUUGAUUAAGACUUUGCUGGCGAUCUGGAUAAAAGGAGGUCAAUCACUGGUUAUGUCUACACUUUGUGUGGUGGAGCAGUCAGCUGGAAGGCUUCUUUACAGUCAGUAGUUGCUUUGUCAACUACUGAGGCAGAGUACAUAGCACUCUCAGAAGCAGUGAAAGAAGCAAUAUGGUUAAAAAGGUUAGUAGCAGAGUUAGGCCUGGAGCAAGGAUCAGUCAAUAUCAACUGUGACAGCUCUAGUGCCAACACUUCAUCAGAGAUGAGAUUGCUCAAGAAGUUGUAAAUGUAAUUAAGAUUGCAUCAGAGUGUAACCCUGCAGACAUGCUUACGAAGACUCUGCCAUCAGUCAAGUUAAAAGCUGCUUUGAAAUCGAUUGGCAUGGUUAGUCAGUAAAUCAAGUUAUGGUAGGUUGAUUCAGUGACUGAAGGAAGCUUUAACAGAAUAAAACUAGGUGGAGAUUUGUGAAGCCAGGAAGUAGUUAUAUUCUGUUAAAACAUUAAUGAGGUGGCAUGCUGAGCUGGCAUGGAAUCUUUUGGCUGUUAAAUCUAUUAGUUGAAUAGAACAACAGUUGGCUUUUUCUCUCGUGACUAAGGGGUUAUAAAAGAGCAGCAAAAGUAUUCUUGAAGAGGAGAGUGUGUGUGAGAGAUUCUUGGAGUGAGAUAUAGAGCUUAUAUGAAGAGUUAAUAUCUCUGUAAUCUCAUCAUCAGUUGUAAUCCAUUUUCAUUCUAAAUAAAGCUUAGAGCAGUACUGUUUCAACCGUGGAUGUAGGCUUCUUGUGGCCGAACCACGUUACAUCUUCUUGCCAUUUUCUUUUAUGUUCUUGGUGAUUGCAGUUGCUUAGAUUGAUCUUUAGUUUUGUUUACAUUUGAUUGCUUGGUUUGAUUCUCUCAAAGAAGCUUGAAACAUUGGGCCAGUUCUUAACACUCUGUGGUUCAAUCAUUUACUUCUCUGUUCUUGUUUAUUCACAACAAGAUAUCAAUAGAAGAAGAUGGAAAUGAAAUUCUAUAAAAUAAAGCAAGUGAAUUACCAGCAGAACAUUUUAGCAAUCCUUUCGCUAAACUUUUCAUUUUCAUAGUCUUGCUCUCCUGCCUGCAUCAUUAAAACCAAAUUAGCUUGGACCUGUGAAUUGCUAGUGUAGUUAUGACAUUUCCUCCAAUCCCUGGUGAACAUAAUUAAACUCGUAUGAAAAAAAACAAAGUGGGCUAAUGUAGUAAAAACAAUUACACAAUUACUUUAAAAUUGAUAAUUUAGUUUUCGACAUUAUUGCAAAUGUAUCAAGGAGAUUUUGUCACUCAGGAAGUUACACAUAACAAAUUUUCGUACAUUAAAAAAUAAAUUACAUUGGGAUUUUCUAUGAUGUUGUAUCAAAUUUUACAAAAGAGCACAUAUUUUUUAAAAGAAAAGAUAGAAAUUUCAACAUACUACACUUGUUUUUUUUUUAAUUAUUUAAUCUUUAGAAAACAAGUUUAACAGAUUUGAUAACUAGGAAGUUUUACAUAUUUAUACCAUGAUUGAUUCUAUAUAGAAUUUUAAUUAAAAAUAUAAUUAUUUUUAUUAAUUUCAUUGCAAGCAACAACAAAGUAAAUCAGAGGAGGAGGAGAAAUUACCAGCGAGUGAUAUCUUACGGCGACCACUUGAUGCGGGGAAGGUGGGAUAUCUUAUACCAGUCUUCUCCUUCCCCCUGUCUAUAACGGUUUUCCAGAAGGGGACAUUCGCUAAUUCUCAAUUCCUGCAGCAUCGUCGUCCGAAGAAGGUAAUCCGGCAGCACCUUUAAUUUGGGGCAAUACCCAAUUCGCAAGGAAGAAAGACGUGGUAUGUCUAUUGUCCUGCGAUCUUCUAGAAUGGGCAGUUCUUCCAAUUUUCACAAGAAUAAAGACUCAGUUCCUACAGUGCCGUCGUUUGAAGAAGGUAAUCCGGCAGCCCCUUUAAUUUGUUGCAAGAACCAACUUUUAAGGAAGAAAGACGGGGCAUGAUGGAGAUGUUUUCCUUCCUCGUAACCCUGUAAUUCCACUCUUCCAGUUCUUUCAUUGCGUCAAUUUCGAGUGAUUUCAAUUUGGGGAAGGCAAUAACUGAUGGUGACAAUGAAGAUGAAGCUGGGUCAUCCUCAGUGCCAUUUCAAAUUCGCAAGGAAGAAAGACGUGGUAUGAUGGAGAUGUUUUCCUUCCUCGUAAUCCUGUAAUUCCCCUCUUCCAAUUCCUUAAUUUCGAGUGAUUUCACUUUGGGGAAGGCAGUAACUGAUGAUGAUGAUGAAGACGAAGAUGGGUCAUCCUCACUUUCUUCUAUUUCCAAGAACUCAUUACCCACUCUUUUUACACUUUUCAAGUGGCAUAGUUCGAGCUUUUCCAGAGGCAAUUUUCCCAAUGGAGGCAACUGCUCACAAUUCUCGCAGAAGACAAGUUUUAAAUCGCUUAGAUUGGUUAGUGAAGUCAACCAUUUGGGCAAAAUGUUGCCUCCGUUGAAUAGAAUCCAUAAUUUCUCUACAUUCAAUGGCGGUUGUAAGGCUUCAAGAAGUUGUUCAUCUUUCUCAUUCUUCCUCCUCCUCUCUUCAUAUUCCCCAUCUACAACUUUACCUCCUUUUUCUUCUUUAUAUCCCCCAUCCUCAUCUUCAUCUUCCCCACCUUCAUCUUCAUUCUCUUCUUCAUCUUCCCAAUCUUCAUCUUCCCUAUCUACAACUUCAAACCAAAGAUACAAAUGAAGGAGGUUUUCCAUAUUUUUGAGUUCUAAUCUCUUAGCCUCAUCUAAAUGUGACACAUUACUCAGCCCUUCUAUUCCACAUUUCCGAAUGAGUUGAAAAUUUUUCAGACAUUCAAGCCUACACGUACUGCCACCAUCAACACCUCCACCCACAGCAAACUUGUCUAAUGUUCGAAGACUGGUUAAUUUGGAAAUCCCUAUUGGCAUGUACUUCAACGAACAAGUAAGACCAUUUAGCAAACUCCUCAUGUUCUUUAACUUCCCAAUCCCUGUAGGCAAUUCUCUUAGAUUUCGGCACCCCCUAAUAUCUAGCUUUUGUAAAUUAUAUAAUUCACACAAAGUCUUAGGCAGUCUCUCUAUGUGUAAUUCAGACAAAUUAAGAUAUUUUAAAUGCAUCAAUUUUCCGACAUUUUCUGGAAUUUCUCUAAUC